rnacentral:rRNA from 1 species
AUUGAACGCUGGCGGCAUGCCUUACACAUGCAAGUCGAACGGCAGCACGGGAGCAAUCCUGGUGGCGAGUGGCGAACGGGUGAGUAAAGUAUCGGAACGUGCCCAGUCGUGGGGGAUAACGUAGCGAAAGUUACGCUAAUACCGCAUACGAUCUAUGGAUGAAAGCGGGGGACCGCAAGACCUCGCGCGAUUGGAGCGGCCGAUAUCAGAUUAGGUAGUUGGUGGGGUAAAGGCUCACCAAGCCGACGAUCUGUAGCUGGUCUGAGAGGACGAACAGCCACACUGGGACUGAGACACGGCCCAGACUCCUACGGGAGGCAGCAGUGGGGAAUUUUGGACAAUGGGCGCAAGCCUGAUCCAGCCAUGCCGCGUGCAGGAUGAAGGCCUUCGGGUUGUAAACUGCUUUUGUACGGAACGAAAAGGUUUGACUUAAUACGUUGGACUCAUGACGGUACCGUAAGAAUAAGCACCGACUAACUACGUGCCAGCCGCCGCGGUAA